CUUAAUUGGGCGUUAAGUUGCAGGGUAUAGACCCGAAACCCGGUGAUCUAGCCAUGGGCAGGUUGAAGGUUGGGUAACACUAACUGGAGGACCGAACCGACUAAUGUUGAAAAAUUAGCGGAUGACCUGUGGCUGGGGGUGAAAGGCCAAUCAAACCGGGAGAUAGCUGGUUCUCCCCGAAAGCUAUUUAGGUAGCGCCUCGUGAAUUCAUCUCCGGGGGUAGAGCACUGUUUCGGCUAGGGGGCCAUCCCGGCUUACCAACCCGAUGCAAACUGCGAAUACCGGAGAAUGUUAUCACGGGAGACACACGGCGGGUGCUAACGUCCGUCGUGAAGAGGGAAACAACCCAGACCGCCAGCUAAGGUCCCAAAGUCAUGGUUAAGUGGGAAACGAUGUGGGAAGGCCCAGACAGCCAGGAUGUUGGCUUAGAAGCAGCCAUCAUUUAAAGAAAGCGUAAUAGCUCACUGGUCGAGUCGGCCUGCGCGGAAGAUGUAACGGGGCUAAACCAUGCACCGAAGCUGCGGCAGCGACACUGUGUGUUGUUGGGUAGGGGAGCGUUCUGUAAGCCUGUGAAGGUGGCCUGUGAGGGUUGCUGGAGGUAUCAGAAGUGCGAAUGCUGACAUAAGUAACGAUAAAGCGGGUGAAAAGCCCGCUCGCCGGAAGACCAAGGGUUCCUGUCCAACGUUAAUCGGGGCAGGGUGAGUCGACCCCUAAGGCGAGGCCGAAAGGCGUAGUCGAUGGGAAACGGGUUAAUAUUCCCGUACUUGGUGUUACUGCGAAGGGGGGACGGAGAAGGC
rnacentral:rRNA from 1 species